UAAAUUUAGAGUUUGAUCCUGGCUCAGGACGAACGCUGGCGGCGUGCUUAACACAUGCAAGUCGAGCGAUGAAGCUUCCUUCGGGAAGUGAAUUAGCGGCGGACGGGUGAGUAACACGUGGGUAACCUGCCUCAAAGUGGGGGAUA
rnacentral:rRNA from 1 species